rnacentral:tRNA from 1 species
UGGGAUGUGGCUCAGUGGUAGAGCGUUCGCUUUGCAUGUGAAAUGCCCUAGGUUCUAUCCCCGGCAUCUCCA